CUGGCGGUAUGCCUACCAUGCCNGUCGACGCACCUUUCGGGGUGAGUGGCGGACGGGUGAGUAACGCGUGAGANUCUGCCGAAGGGACGGGGAUAACCACGGGAAACGGUGGCUAAUACCGGAUGAGCCGAAAGGUAAAAGAUUUNUCGCCCUUCGAGGAGCUCGCGUCCGAUUAGCUAGUUGGUGAGGUAAAAGCUCACCAAGGCAGCGAUCGGNUAGCUGGUCUGAGAGGAUGAGCAGCCACACUGGGACUGAGACACGGCCCAGACUCCUACGGGAGGCAGCAGUGGGGAAUUUUCCGCAAUGGGCGCAAGCCUGACGGAGCANUACCGCGUGAGGGAGGAAGGCUCUUGGGUUGUAAACCUCUUUUCUCAGGGAAGAAGUUCUGACGGUACCUGAGGAAUAAGCAUCGGCUAACUCCGUGCCAGCAGCCGCGGUANUACGGAGGAUGCAGGCGUUAUCCGGAAUUAUGGGGCGUANAGCGUCCGCAGGUGGCAUUUCCAGUCUGCUGUCAAAGACCAAGGCUCAACCUUGGNCAGGCNGUGGAAACUGAAANCUAGAGUGCGGUANGGGUAGGGGGAAUCC
rnacentral:rRNA from 1 species